CACGACGUGAAGUGAGCUGUGUGCGCUGUGUGGUGUGCCGUGAAUACUUGACGGUCGUGACGCGUGAGUGCGAAAGUGUAUGUGUGCAUAUAUAAUUUCGCUACACACUACACACUUUUGCAUAUGCACGCGCAUGACAUACGCGCGCGCGCGAGCGCGUGGCUAUAUUUGCGCACGGUACUCGGGUCGGGACUCUCGGGAGUCGGGGGAGUCGGGUACUUGCGGACUGACAGCUGCCAGCACGACUAGCACGAGUAGUAGGAGCAAGCAGAAGUGGCGGAUCAUGUAAGGUGAGCAAAGGAUCUUCCGUGUCGAACGAGACACAACUCGCCAACCUACGAGCGAUUGCACUGCCAAAGAGACACGUUAGAAGAGUUGACAGGAUAGGUAGACGCAGGAGCGGACGGAAAAGGAGUAGACGAUCGAGAGGCGGAAUGACACGUCCUCCAAACAAUGAAAACCUUAUGACCUUUAAACUGGUCGUAGUUGGAGAUGGAGGUGUCGGCAAGAGCGCACUCACAAUACAGUAUUUUCAGAAACUGUUUGUCGCAGACUACGAUCCAACUAUUGAGGAUAGUUAUAUUCAACACGCGGAGGUAGACAAACAGUGGUGUAUCUUGGAUGUGUUAGAUACAGCUGGUCAGGAAGAAUUUAGUGCUAUGCGUGAACAAUAUAUGCGGAAAGGUGAUGGAUUUCUUUUGGUAUAUUCUGUGACUGAUAAACAAUCGUAUCAAAACAUCGUCAAUUUUCAUACUCAAAUUUUACGAGUGAAAGAUAGAGAUGUUUAUCCUAUGUUAUUGGUGGCUAACAAAGUCGAUCUGGUGCAUUUGAGAAAAGUCACGGAGGAACAGGGAAGAGAAUUGGCUCAGCGUUUGGGCAUACCUUAUAUUGAAACUUCUGCCAAAGAUCCACCACUGAAUGUAGACGCGGCGUUUCACGAGGUUGUUCGCAUUAUCAGAAAUCAACCUCCGGCCGAAUUGGAGAAAAAUCAAAAAAAGCGACGACGUUCGAAAAAGUGUAACAUUUUAUAAGUUUUCAAGAGAAACUACGCACAUGCGCAAGAAGACCAAAAACCAUGGUGCUGUAUCGUAAUCGUGCAAUGCCUUUGCUUCUGGAAAAGUACGUCCUUGUUUAGAAAAUUCAUCAGAGAGAAUAAUUUUUCUUCAAGUAUUCUAUAGGAAUUUUCCAAAAGGAACGUGCAGCCGGUUCUUGGGGAGCUUGGCAGGUCUAUAUAGAAGAUAAGUAAGCAGGUAAAUAAGUAAGUGCACUCGACGAACACUGGGUCUUUCGACCCAAUAGCAGAAUAUGCGAAAUAAAUGAAGGAAAAGAAGAUAUGUCCAAGUAUUUUAUUUUAAUAAAAGAGAGAAAAAUAAGAUGACAAUAGCUGUAUUUAUAUCCUAAAACGCUUUCUUCUGUAAAAAUAAAAAAACCAAUACUUGGUUGUCAACGACUUAAAACUUAAAAUAUAUUGAUAAUUCUUUUAGAGGUUUGACAUUUUAGUUGUAUAAAUUUUGCAGAAAAGGCUGUCAUAGCUUUUUUCUUUUUCUCGAAUAAGUAGUGAAAGUUUUGAACUCGAGUGAACAUUAUUGAGAAGUUGAUUUUGCAAAAUAUCGUCUGUUUCUUUGAAAAAGACAAUAUUUUUGUAGAAGAAUUUAAAGAAUCAUAAGUUACAACUUAAAAUAAAACGUAGAAUACACACACGUUAAAGUGCAUAUUAUAUUUUGACACAAUGUUUCAUAACUUUAGUAAUAAUAGUCGAGCUUAUAAAGAAAAGUAAAACCCAUAUUUAUAAUCGCAUUUCUAUAUAUAAUAUUGAAGAACCCAACUGAAAUCAGUGUAAAGAUACAAUAUAAAAAUAUAGUCGAUUGGCCUAUUUAUAAUUUUAUACAGUAUAUUUGAUAUCAUUUUCCCGAAUCCCGGUGAUUUAUUUUUAAAAUAAAUAUAAUAAUUUAUUCACCUCAUAGUUGUUCAGUCGUCGUUUGAUGCCUGUCAAACUUCCACCUCCUCGAUAAAAUUGUACAACACAAACACUCGCAAAAACUAAAACGAUCGCCUGCAAUUUGCACGGCACUUGGAAUACUAACCGCACGCGACCUUAAUUAUUUUAUCGCGUCGAAACACGAUUAUAGAAAUUAUGCGAAAAAGAUCCGACAUUCUGUGAUUCGUUUUAUGAUAUCCACGAAUAUCGCAAAUUAGCGUGAUAAACAAAAUCUCAAAUAGUAGAGGUUUUUACGAUUCGCAUAACGUAUAACGUUUAUAUUGUAAACUGUUUAAUAUGAAAGAAUUAAGAUUAUUUAACAUAUUUUUUCUCGUUGAUCUCAAACUUGUGUUUAGAAAAAGAAUCUCCUCAGAAAGCGCACGACGCGACGCCAUGAAACCGCAUACAUCAUAUAUGAUUGACCGUUAUAAUGUAAAUCGAGCCAUUAUGAUAUUCUGUACUUAGCAUUCGAAUCGUUACAGCUAUAUAUACACAUACGAUAGCACAUCGAUAUAUUACGCAAAUUUCAAUGCGUUUCGAUUAGAUGGAGAGUAUCUGGGAAACUUGAAGCAAACUACAUCUUAAAAUCGCUUUCCGAUCGAUCCCCGAUAUUUUAUUGCCUUGUACGAUAUAUAUUUUGGAUUCUGUUAAGUAACCCACGCAAUUAUACAAUUCAUUUAGUACAAUAAUGUAUACAACAGCAAUUAUUAUACAAUUACAAACGCGAUUUAUAAUAAUUAUAAUAAUUAAAUUCUGUGCUAUUUAGAAUCGUGACGCCUACAGCCGUGUGAAAAUUCAAGCGCGACCAGCACCCGCUUAGAGUGCUGAUCGCUUGAUAAAUACCACUCGACCAUGAUACGAGCAGCAAGCGUUGCGGUGCAUGCGUACCUAUCCAAUUGGCCAAUAAACGCCGCUGCGCCAUUAGAGAAAAGCACCCCGCUAAGUUUAGAGUACCGAGCACAUGACCGUUUUCGAGGGUCACGUGCGAGGGUAACGGGUAACUGCGAAUGUCAUUGCCGUCGCAGAUAGUCACGGCAAAGCUCCAUCGAUACGCAAAAUUGCCCAGUGUUUUCUAUUCAGAAACGCAAGUCGACGCAGAGUAAACAAAAGUCGAUUUUUAGCCUCUCUCUCUCUCUCUUUCUCUUUCAUCUCUCUUAUGUCUGCAUUCUAUUUAAUUUAUGUCACUAUAUAUUCUCUUUCGAUCGAAUUUCGUUAACUAUUUGUAAGCUGAUUCGCGACAAUCGCGACGGUGCGGAAGUAAUCGUAAAUAAGUUAAAAACAAAAACAUUUGCAAAAACUCUGUUUUUCUCUUUUCCCGAUAUAUGUGUAUAUAUUAAGAACAAAGUUAUUUAUAUCGAUUGUUGCUGUAAAUUCUAAGCUCUUUAUGACACGUUAAAUCCCUAGCUGGUAUCACUCGGUCCUGCAAACUGCUUGUGCCAGUUCAAAUAUGUCUAGUCCCUUAUACCUGCACUCGUUCUCGAGUAGAGAUGUGUACCUUCGUGCUUAGCUUUGCUGAAUGUGAUGUGAUAAUGUGAUGAGAAAUGGAGAUUAAAUAGAAGCGGUCUAUGCAACCGCUAGUACCAGCUUUCCACAGGCACAAGGAAGAGAGGAGUUAAACGUAUGAUACCAAUUAUAAGGAAUAGUUUCGUCAUGUUUAAUUAAUAAUUUAAUUAAUAUUUUGUGAAAGGAUAAGAGAAAACAAACUUGGGAUGACGAGCGAAAGAUG